GCACCCGUAGCUCAGCUGGAUAGAGCACCAGACUAAGAAUCUGGGGGUCGGGAGUUCGAAUCUCUCCGGGUGCGCCA
rnacentral:tRNA from 1 species